rnacentral:rRNA from 1 species
UACGUAGGGUGCGAGCGUUGUCCGGAAUUACUGGGCGUAAAGAGCUUGUAGGCGGUUUGUCGCGUCGUCUGUGAAAACUCACAGCUCAACUGUGAGCUUGCAGGCGAUACGGGCAGACUUGAGUACUGCAGGGGAGACUGGAAUUCCUGGUGUAGCGGUGAAAUGCGCAGAUAUCAGGAGGAACACCGGUGGCGAAGGCGGGUCUCUGGGCCGAUAACUGACGCU